rfam:Pseudomonas putida KT2440 complete genome.
CUAGGCUUUUUCGGUCGCUGUCAGUUCAGCGAUCGGGUGUGGAAGCCUGGGUG